AGCGAACGGACGAGGAGCUUGCUUCUCUGAUGUUAGCGGCGGACGGGUGAGUAACACGUGGAUAACCUACCUAUAAGACUGGGAUAACUUCGGGAAACCGGAGCUAAUACCGGGUAAUAUUUUGAACCGCAUGGUUCAAAAGUAAAAGACGGUCUUGCUGUCACUUAUAGAUGGAUCCGCGCUGCAUUAGCUAGUUGGUAAGGUAACGGCUUACCAAGGCAACGAUGCAUAGCCGACCUGAGAGGGUGAUCGGCCACACUGGAACUGAGACACGGUCCAGACUCCUACGGGAGGCAGCAGUAGGGAAUCUUCCGCAAUGGGCGAAAGCCUGACGGAGCAACGCCGCGUGAGUGAUGAAGGUCUUCGGAUCGUAAAACUCUGUUAUUAGGGAAGAACAUAUGUGUAAGUAACUGUGCACAUCUUGACGGUACCUAAUCAGAAAGCCACGGCUAACUACGUGCCAGCAGCCGCGGUAAUACGUAGGUGGCAAGCGUUAUCCGGAAUUAUUGGGCGUAAAGCGCGCGUAGGCGGUUUUUUAAGUCUGAUGUGAAAGCCCACGGCUCAACCGUGGAGGGUCAUUGGAAACUGGAAAACUUGAGUGCAGAAGAGGAAAGUGGAAUUCCAUGUGUAGCGGUGAAAUGCGCAGAGAUAUGGAGGAACACCAGUGGCGAAGGCGACUUUCUGGUCU
rnacentral:rRNA from 1 species